rnacentral:rRNA from 1 species
UCAGGCCUAACACAUGCAAGUCGAGCGAGACCUUCGGGUCUAGCGGCGGACGGGUGAGUAACGCGUGGGAACGUGCCCUUUGGUUCGGAAUAGCCCCGGGAAACUGGGAGUAAUACCGGAUGAGCCCUACGGGGGAAAGAUUUAUCGCCGAAGGAUCGGCCCGCGUUGGAUUAGGUAGUUGGUGGGGUAAUGGCCUACCAAGCCGACGAUCCAUAGCUGGUUUGAGAGGAUGAUCAGCCACACUGGGACUGAGACACGGCCCAGACUCCUACGGGAGGCAGCAGUGGGGAAUCUUAGACAAUGGGGGAAACCCUGAUCUAGCCAUGCCGCGUGAGCGAAGAGAGGCCUUAGGGUUGUAAAGCUCUCUCAGCUGGAAGAUAAUG